rnacentral:lncRNA from 1 species
CUUCACUGGUGUGUGUUUCUGUGUCUAUAUGAGGCAACUCUCCCCUUGUCCUUGCAUUUCUGUGCACCAGUGAUAUUCAGAAACCAUGUCUCUGAUUGCACUGGUGGUCUGCCUGAGCCUGGGCUCCGGUGCCUUUGCCUCCCAUUUGCAAGGUGGGAUCAUGACCUUCAGUCCCAAAGGAAGAAACCCAGACGGGACUUUCAGGGUAGAUUUUCGGUACAAAGAAUCAUUUAGAACUGGCUGCCAUCAGGAAUUUUACUGGCCAUGCCGUAGUGGGAACUGUGGACAAAACACCCAUUUUCAAUAUGGGAAAAUAGAUGACGACCCAUUAGGAGGUGGCUGGUGUCAGGCAGAGGGAGUCAUGACCAGAAGCAUUGCCAGCGACAAACCUUUUGAAUUGAGGUAAGGAAGUUUUCUCAAUUUUAAAAAUGACAGAGUAGUAUGA